GAAAGAACCAAUCAAGUCAGAGAAAAUAGUGAAGAAAGAGGGGGUUAGCGCUUUUACUAACCCAGUCAGUGUUGAGUGUUUUCUCUGUGAUUGUGGUUUGAGAAGGCUGAUAUAUACCAUGAGUAGUGAGGCAUCAACAGAAAGGAUGCAUUUCCUUUAAUUGUUUUCCUUUCUUCAGAAAGUAUUAUGGCACCGCAUGCUGGAUCCCAUGGCGAAUCUAAGAAAACUGGCUAAAAUGCAUUUUGUCUAUGAGGGACCAUACAUCUCCGUCCUUUCUCUGUAAGACCCCAACACACAUAACUGAUCUCAAGGUGGGAUAUGAUGGGAGUUCUGAGAUGUCAACACCAUAUUCAGCAAGGUGAAUAGUGCUGGGAAUACGCUGAACCAGUGAGACAACAAGGUGAGUUUGUGUGAGAGUCGGGUCUUAAAAACUACUUUAUCUCACCCUCAGCUUCCCCCUCUUCUUAUAUUUGACCAGGCCUGUUAUGACACUGAAGAUACAGGAAUACCUUCUUCUGCCAAGUUCUUCUCAGAGCAGGCUGAGAUGAAAAGGGAGCAUGCAAAGCGAUUCCUAAGAUAUCUAAGAAAACGUGAGAGUAUGAUCUGCCUUCCAGUUACUAAGGAAGCAGAAUGCAACAAAACUGUGCCUGAAGUAGAAAAGCGACUCUCCUGUUCAUCUCCAAUAGAGGCCUGACAGAAAUAACCGGGGAAGUGGCUUACAAGCCCUGAAAUCCGCUCUGCAGUUGGAGAACAUGUUAACCGAUGUCCUCCAGGACCUGAAAACCACAGCUUCUAAGGAUGAAGAAACUGAGGUAAGUAGUUAACUGGUUCUGACAGUGUCAUCUUUCACUUCUGGAUUAUGAUUUGCCUCUGGGAAAUAUGACCAAGGCAACAGAUCAUGCAACGUGUGUUUGUUUUCCUCCAAGGAAGUCUGGGAACUUAUUUCUAGGAGCAGUUUGGGAGUGGGGAGACAGUUGUCCUGGUAAGGAAAAAUGAAACUUAGUAUAUGGUGAAAACAUCUUCCCAGGAGUAAUGCGCUCUAUAAAAUUAAACCAAACAAUGGUUUUUUUUGCUGCUGCCUUGUAAAUCUCCUAAACCAGAAAUGCUUAAGAUUUACUGAGCUUAAGCAUUUACAAGAUGAAAUCAAAUGCUUAAGAUUUACAAGAUCCCCUGGAGGGCUUACUAAAACAAACUUCUAGGGCUCAGUCCGAAAGUUUUCUUGGGUUGGUUUUGAAUGGGUCUCAGGAAUGUGUUUUAACAAGUCUAGGUGAUCCUGCUGGCUGACAGCCACAGUUUGAGAACUGCUGUCCUAGACUGUCCCUGCAAAAGUAGACGUUAAUGGUGGCCUAUUACAAUACAGACUUCUCUGAAGUCUUCCUGGUUACUGGUAAACACUACCUCAAUGUGGUAACUUCUCUAACUCCCUAGCUUCUCAGGAAGUCAAAGUGAAGAAAAUGGGCCUAGUACAAUAGCUCUCAACU
rnacentral:lncRNA from 1 species